rnacentral:rRNA from 1 species
GUUGAACGCUGGCGGCAUGCCUUACACAUGCAAGUCGAACGGUAACAGGUCUUCGGAUGCUGACGAGUGGCGAACGGGUGAGUAAUACAUCGGAACGUGCCUAGUAGUGGGGGAUAACUACUCGAAAGAGUGGCUAAUACCGCAUGAGAUCUACGGAUGAAAGCAGGGGAUCGCAAGACCUUGUGCUACUAGAGCGGCCGAUGGCAGAUUAGGUAGUUGGUGGGAUAAAAGCUUACCAAGCCGACGAUCUGUAGCUGGUCUGAGAGGACGAUCAGCCACACUGGGACUGAGACACGGCCCAGACUCCUACGGGAGGCAGCAGUGGGGAAUUUUGGACAAUGGGCGCAAGCCUGAUCCAGCAAUGCCGCGUGCAGGAUGAAGGCCUUCGGGUUGUAAACUGCUUUUGUACGGAACGAAAAACCCUGGGUUAAUACCCUGGGGUCAUGACGGUACCGUAAGAAUAAGCACCGGCUAACUACGUGCCAGCCGCCGCUGUAACAC